AGAGUUUGAUCCUGGCUCAGAUUGAACGCUGGCGGCAGGCCUAACACAUGCAAGUCGAGCGGUAGAGAGAAGCUUGCUUCUCUUGAGAGCGGCGGACGGGUGAGUAAUGCCUAGGAAUCUGCCUGGUAGUGGGGGAUAACGUUCGGAAACGGACGCUAAUACCGCAUACGUCCUACGGGAGAAAGCAGGGGACCUUCGGGCCUUGCGCUAUCAGAUGAGCCUAGGUCGGAUUAGCUAGUUGGUGAGGUAAUGGCUCACCAAGGCGACGAUCCGUAACUGGUCUGAGAGGAUGAUCAGUCACACUGGAACUGAGACACGGUCCAGACUCCUACGGGAGGCAGCAGUGGGGAAUAUUGGACAAUGGGCGAAAGCCUGAUCCAGCCAUGCCGCGUGUGUGAAGAAGGUCUUCGGAUUGUAAAGCACUUUAAGUUGGGAGGAAGGGCAGUAAAUUAAUACUUUGCUGUUUUGACGUUACCGACAGAAUAAGCACCGGCUAACUCUGUGCCAGCAGCCGCGGUAAUACAGAGGGUGCAAGCGUUAAUCGGAAUUACUGGGCGUAAAGCGCGCGUAGGUGGUUUGUUAAGUUGGAUGUGAAAUCCCCGGGCUCAACCUGGGAACUGCAUUCAAAACUGACUGACUAGAGUAUGGUAGAGGGUGGUGGAAUUUCCUGUGUAGCGGUGAAAUGCGUAGAUAUAGGAAGGAACACCAGUGGCGAAGGCGACCACCUGGACUAAUACUGACACUGAGGUGCGAAAGCGUGGGGAGCAAACAGGGUUAGAUACCCUGGUAGUCCACGCCGUAAACGAUGUCAACUAGCCGUUGGAAGCCUUGAGCUUUUAGUGGCGCAGCUAACGCAUUAAGUUGACCGCCUGGGGAGUACGGCCGCAAGGUUAAAACUCAAAUGAAUUGACGGGGGCCCGCACAAGCGGUGGAGCAUGUGGUUUAAUUCGAAGCAACGCGAAGAACCUUACCAGGCCUUGACAUCCAAUGAACUUUCUAGAGAUAGAUUGGUGCCUUCGGGAACAUUGAGACAGGUGCUGCAUGGCUGUCGUCAGCUCGUGUCGUGAGAUGUUGGGUUAAGUCCCGUAACGAGCGCAACCCUUGUCCUUAGUUACCAGCACGUAAUGGUGGGCACUCUAAGGAGACUGCCGGUGACAAACCGGAGGAAGGUGGGGAUGACGUCAAGUCAUCAUGGCCCUUACGGCCUGGGCUACACACGUGCUACAAUGGUCGGUACAGAGGGUUGCCAAGCCGCGAGGUGGAGCUAAUCCCAUAAAACCGAUCGUAGUCCGGAUCGCAGUCUGCAACUCGACUGCGUGAAGUCGGAAUCGCUAGUAAUCGCGAAUCAGAAUGUCGCGGUGAAUACGUUCCCGGGCCUUGCACUCACCGCCCGUC
rnacentral:rRNA from 1 species